ACCACAGCUGCCACAUCGGCACUCCAGGCUGGGUCACAGGCCUGCUCGAUGCGCUCCAGAACCACACUGUCCCACUGUUUCUUGGCCAGGGUGAACUGGCGGUUGGGCUCAAGCUCGAUAGUGUGCCUGAGGUCGCGUAGCGCCAAACCCGCCGAGAGACACCACCUUCCCAGUGGUUCCAGCCGCCAGCACAGACAAAGUGGCUGAUGCAAUGAGGGCGCAUGUGCAGCCCGCAGUCCACCUCCCGGCGCACUUUUUACGACACCAAAGGGAGGCGUGGCCUCAGCUUGCCGGGGCGCAGGCGCUCUAAGCGAGUUGCAGCUCCAGACAAAUAAACCAACUAAGGGAAGCGCGAAAUCAGGCAGCAAGUCUUUGUUUUAAUGCUGAACUUGGACUUCAUGAGUUUUCUCUUCCAUUCCUGUUUAUGAAGAAUCUGGGGAAUAUGUAGAGUAAUCAGAGGAAGCUGCUGGUGCCAGUGGAGCAAUUAUCUCUUGAAUCAAAUAGAAACUUGGCUCUGGAAGAGAACUAAGAAGAGGGACAAUGUUCAUAUCUUUGUAUCCAUAAGGAGUGUCAUUUAGAAGGAGUGUGUUUGAAAUCUUAUGAUGCAGGUUUUAAAAAUACAAAGAAAUGUGAUAGAAAAUUGCCAUAUAGAUACACUAUAUGUUACUGAUUGUAAUUUUCAGGUGCACAUUUUCUCACAUUUCAACAUCUCUGAAACUAGGAGGCACCUGACAAUACAGCAGUUAUAAUUGGGUUGGCAGUGCUUUUCUUGGUAAUACAUAGAAUAAUGGUGCAUCAUUUAAUUGAUGGUGUCUUCUAUUCAAUUAGAUGUAAAUAUGUGUAGAGAUAUAUAUUCCAGGUAGGGAUAUAAUUAAAAGAGAUAAUCUGAUCCUUUAAGUAUUUUAUGAGUUUGUCUAUGGCCUAUUCUUCUGUGAUUCAUUCAAUAACAAAUUUUCAAGAGCUUAUUAUUUUUAGAUGCUAAGGAUAAUAAACAGACAAAGACUCUAUCCUAUUAGAGCAUACAGCAACCUGAGAACACAAUUAAAUAUUAAUUAUAAUAUCAUGUGCUAUAUGAUAGUAGCAGAGGUGUUAGGGGCUUACAUGUCUUUGGGGGAGGGUGUCCAAUUUAUUCCACUGGGUUUCUUGGAAAUGACAUUUAUGUGGGGACUGAUUGGUAGUAGUGUAACUGUUAUGCAAAGGCCCAGAGAUUUGAGAGGAACUGGGACAACAGAGUAGCUGAAAGAAGCUCAAUGAUAUUGAAGACAGGAAUAUAUUCAGCUCAUUUACAUCUCUUGAUAUUCUACUGUACUCUUGCUUUGAGAGAGAGUACAAUUCUUCAGUCACAGACCACUCUGAAUUGGCAAUGUAUUUUGACUUUAGUAUUGUGGGAACAAUUCCAAAUCUUUCAUCUCAAUUUCUUAAAUGUGAAUUAAAAUACACUAUUUUGUGUUUCAUAACAACAGAAAAGCAUUGUAGGUAAAGAAUAGCAAUUUUAUCCCUAAUUUUCUAAAUAUAUUUUAAACAUGAGUUACUUUUUAAAUGAAAUAUUUAGAGACAUAUGAAAAUUCAGCAAGUUCUAAAUCUAAUGGUAAAUUUGUUUGGUUGGAGGUGGAGGAAUAAAGAAAGAGGAGCAUUUGUCUAAGGAAGUAAGAUCAUCAGUUAUAAUCUGUGGCCCAAGAGCUUAAGCAUCAAAAUAGCAUUAUGACAGCAGGGAAGAAAACCAGUUGAGCAUAUAUAUUUCAUUGGUAUUAUCAUUGCCUACUUACUAAAUAAAACAAAUCCUAUGAGUUUAUUGCUGCCUCUGCAGACAUCAUAAUGACUAAAGAGUUUCACCAUCUUGGGUAGUUCCUGGCAAUCCACUGUACGCCACUGAAGGUCAUGUCUUUGUCACAGGUAAGCAGUUGACUUCCUGUCAUAUUCAGUCAUCACCUCACUGGACUUCAUUUUGAAUAAGAAAUCUUGC